rnacentral:tRNA from 1 species
UGGGGCGUAGCUCAACUGGCAGAGCACCGGACUUUGGAUCCGGGGGUUCCUGGUUCGAGUCCAGGCGCCCCAGCCA